GCGAACGCUGGCGGCAGGCCUAACACAUGCAAGUCGAACGAACUCUUCAGAGUUAGUGGCGGACGGGUGAGUAACACGUGGGAACGUGCCUUUUGGUUCGGAAUAACUCAGGGAAACUUGUGCUAAUACCGAAUGUGCCCUUCGGGGGAAAGAUUUAUCGCCAUUAGAGCGGCCCGCGUCUGAUUAGCUAGUUGGUGAGGUAACGGCUCACCAAGGCGACGAUCAGUAGCUGGUCUGAGAGGAUGACCAGCCACACUGGGACUGAGACACGGCCCAGACUCCUACGGGAGGCAGCAGUGGGGAAUCUUGCGCAAUGGGCGAAAGCCUGACGCAGCCAUGCCGCGUGAAUGAUGAAGGUCUUAGGAUUGUAAAAUUCUUUCACCGGGGACGAUAAUGACGGUACCCGGAGAAGAAGCCCCGGCUAACUUCGUG
rnacentral:rRNA from 1 species